AAGUCGUAACAAGGUUUCCGUAGGUGAACCUGCGGAAGGAUCAUUAUUGAAGCUCGGAAUGCAUGUUCGGUGCUGAUGCUGCCCAGCAAUGGGACGUGCUCGCUCGGAUGUGUGUCCCUUCUCUAUUCCACCCCUUUGUGAACCAAGUGUGCGAGCCGAUGAGAAAUCGGAGGCUCGCAUGCAAACCCUUAACAUACCCCAAUGAAGUAUCAGAAUGUAACUUGCGUUAACUCGCACAAAUACAACUUUCAACAACGGAUCUCUUGGCUCUC
rnacentral:misc_RNA from 1 species